rnacentral:misc_RNA from 1 species
AUGUCUUUAAGGUUUCCGUAGGUGAACCUGCGGAAGGAUCAUUACAAAAUAAAGCUGGAGGAAGUGGGGUCUUAUCUGUAAGUGGUAGAGCGAACAGUCCGGCUGCCCCCGAAAUGUCUUACAUGUCCCCCAACAGCCCUGAAGGCCGAAUUACAACCCUUGAUUAUCUACACUUGUUGCUUUGGGGUGCUCAAGUGCCCCAGAGGACCCAACUCUCUUGCAUUUAGGACGUCUGAGUACUAUAUAAUAUUUAAAA